rnacentral:rRNA from 1 species
AACGUAGGAGGCUAGCGUUAUCCGGAUUUAUUGGGCGUAAAGCGCGUGCAGGCGGUUUGAUAAGUUGGAUGUGAAAUCUCCCGGCUUAACUGGGAGCGGUCGUUCAAAACUAUCAGACUAGAGAAUGGGAGAGGAAGGUGGAAUUCCGGGUGUAGUGGUGAUAUGCGUAGAUAUCCGGAGGAACACCAGUGGCGAAAGCGGCCUUCUAGACCAUUUCUGACGCUAAGACGCGAAAGCUAGGGUAGCAAACGGGAUUAGAUACCCCUGUAGUCCCUGAGCGGG